CAGCACAAAACCUGGCAUGUAGUAGACUUAAAAAAAAAAAAAUCCUUGUGGGUUAAGUCACAGUCCCGGGUCCUGACUGAGACUGAGUGUGUAUGCGCGUGUGUCUCACACCCCUUCCUGCCCCCAUUCUCCGCCACAAUCAAGGAGGGCCAUUCCACACGUCCGCCACUGCCCAAGUGUCCCCCAGCCUGCGGCACGUUAAACUCCACCUGCUGUGCUGGCCAACGCAUGUCACCCCUCGCCGCUGGAAGCUUCCUCGAAGCACCGAUUUCUCCCUGGCCACCCUGCCUCCAUCGCCUUUGCCAUUCGGGUCUAGGCUGGCGUUAGGGUCUCUCUCCCUCCUGACCACGAACGUGGGGGGAAUUAUCCAGCUCUACGAGGGGCGAAGCACCCCCACUAAGAGGCUGAAAUAAAAUAGCAUCGACCACAGUAAAAUGCAAGGGGAACAGCAGGCGAGGAUGUGGAGACACUGGAGCCCCGAGGAGCUGCCGGUGAGGCCAGCGGUCCAGUCUCCGUGGACAAGCUGAGCGGUUCCUCAAAAAGCUAAAUCCAGACUGUGACCCGCCGUUCCGGGCCCGGGUGUCCCUGUGCCAGCAGAUCUGAGGUCAGGGUCUCCAGCGGGGCCCGCACAGCAUGUCCGCAGCCGCACUGUCCGCGAGGGCCAGAAGGAAGAAACACCCCGAGCGGCCGCCCACCGGCAGAGCGAUGCACAAAAUGGGUCCAUCACGCAAUGCUUACGCCGCCCCCUGCGGACCCCCGCGUGGGCUGGGAGUGCAGCCGGCCACUGCCCCCCACACCCCGUCCUGGCCACAUCCUCCUCGCGGCCCCCUAGAUACGCAUCCUAUGGAGAGAUGAAAGGGCCAGGGUCACACGGCCCCCUGUGCCUCAGCCCCGCUGCGCCCUCCCUGACGCACAGCCGAGUCCUAGGCCGCAUCCUUUCCCGGCCGCAGAGUGCCCUCUGGUGGUCACAUUGGAAGUUUUCGAGGACUCAGAAGAGGAAACGGAAUUGGGUGGAUGGACCCCAAGGUCAAGGACCAGAGGCCAGGGGCUGCCUGAGGACAAAGACCUGCUGCCCACGCCGGGACCAUCCUCUGCGAGGGGCACCCGGACUUCCAGCCAGGGCGGGGCACCUGUGGCGCGCCUCAGCCCUCAGAGGGUGCCAGGCGCACCCCCCGACCUCCUGCAGGCCCCACCCAUAUCCUGACCCCACCCUCAGGACAGAGGCCCCGGAGCCUGGAGGAGAGGUGGGGCUGGGAGGCUGCCGCACAGAAUUUUCACAAGAAGCGAACUUGGUCUUUGUCUCCAUUUCUGGCACCAGGCUCUUAAAACUCUUGGAAUUUCCUAAGUGCUGAGAGUGAUAAAUGUGUCUUUUGUUAUGUUAAUGAGGUGACUUAGGCUGGUCACCAGAAGAACCAACCAGGCGAUUAAAGGCUGGAACUUUCGGUCCUCCGGGGCUGGAGGUUAAACCCGCCCACCCAUCCCCAGUGGCUAACGAUUUAAUCAGCUGUGCCCAAGUAAUACGGCCUCCUGGAAAACCCAAAAGGACAGUGUUCUGAGAGCUUCCAGCUUCCAGGUUGGUGAACAGGCAGAGAUCUGGGGACAGGGGUGCCUGGAGAAGGUGUGGAAGCCCCUUGCCACGUGCUCUCCCAGUGGGUCUCUUCCAUCUGCUAUUCCCGAGCUACAUCCUUUUAUAAUAAAACCGAUAAUCUAGUAAGUGAAA